rnacentral:rRNA from 1 species
GGGGACCCGCACAAGCGGUGGAUGAUGUGGAUUAAUUCGAUGCAACGCGAAAAACCUUACCUACCCUUGACAUGUCCGGAAUCCCGAAGAGAUUUGGGAGUGCUCGCAAGAGAGCCGGAACACAGGUGCUGCAUGGCUGUCGUCAGCUCGUGUCGUGAGAUGUUGGGUUAAGUCCCGCAACGAGCGCAACCCUUGUCAUUAGUUGCCAUCAUUUGGUUGGGCACUCUAAUGAGACUGCCGGUGACAAACCGGAGGAAGGUGGGGAUGACGUCAAGUCCUCAUGGCCCUUAUGGGUAGGGCUUCACACGUCAUACAAUGGUCGGUACAGAGGGUUGCCAACCCGCGAGGGGGAGCCAAUCCCAUAAAGCCAGUCGUAGUCCGGAUCGCAGUCUGCAACUCGACUGCGUGAAGUCGGAAUCGCUAGUAAUCGUGGAUCAGCAUGUCACGGUGAAUACGUUCCCGGGUCUU